AUUGAACGCUGGCGGCAGGCCUAACACAUGCAAGUCGAGCGGUAGCACAGAGAGCUUGCUCUCGGGUGACGAGCGGCGGACGGGUGAGUAAUGUCUGGGAAACUGCCUGAGGGAGGGGGAUAACUACUGGAAACGGUAGCUAAUACCGCAUAACGUCGCAAGACCAAAGAGGGGGACCUUCGGGCCUCUUGCCAUCAGAUGUGCCCAGAUGGGAUUAGCUAGUAGGUGGGGUAACGGCUCACCUAGGCGACGAGCCCUAGCUGGUCUGAGAGGAUGACCAGCCACACUGGAACUGAGACACGGUCCAGACUCCUACGGGAGGCAGCAGUGGGGAAUAUUGCACAAUGGGCGCAAGCCUGAUGCAGCCAUGCCGCGUGUAUGAAGAAGGCCUUCGGGUUGUAAAGUACUUUCAGCGGGGAGGAAGGUGUUGAGGUUAAUAACCUCAGCAAUUGACGUUACCCGCAGAAGAAGCACCGGCUAACUCCGUGCCAGCCGCCGCGGUAA
rnacentral:rRNA from 1 species